rnacentral:rRNA from 1 species
GAUGAACGCUGGCGGCGUGCCUAAUACAUGCAAGUCGAGCGAACGGACGAGAAGCUUGCUUCUCUGAUGUUAGCGGCGGACGGGUGAGUAACACGUGGAUAACCUACCUAUAAGACUGGGAUAACUUCGGGAAACCGGAGCUAAUACCGGAUAAUAUUUUGAACCGCAUGGUUCAAAAGUGAAAGGCGGUCUUGCUGUCACUUAUAGAUGGAUCCGCGCUGCAUUAGCUAGUUGGUAAGGUAACGGCUUACCAAGGCAACGAUGCAUAGCCGACCUGAGAGGGUGAUCGGCCACACUGGAACUGAGACACGGUCCAGACUCCUACGGCAGGCAGCAGUAGGGAAUCUUCCGCAAUGGGCGAAAGCCUGACGGAGCAACGCCGCGUGAGUGAUGAAGGUCUUCGGAUCGUAAAACUCUGUUAUUAGGGAAGAACAUAUGUGUAAGUAACUGUGCACAUCUUGACGGUACCUAAUCAGAAAGCCACGGCUAACUACGUG